rnacentral:lncRNA from 1 species
AUGACCCCAGUGCCUGUGCUAUGCAGAGAGGAGGAGCCCCUUAAACCCUGCUCUGCCCUUUUUCACUCUGUCUCACAGAGGUUACUUUCUGCUUGUUCAUUUUACUGCUUAAUGGCUGUUGUUGUGGCUUUCACACUUGGCCAUGCACUGGGAGCCACUUGCCCUGGUGAGGGUACCAAGAGCUUCCAGACUCAGCAUCCCCGGACAGUGCAGCAAAGAGGAUGCAACUUCAGGCAACUCUCCCUGGUCAUGGGAGCCUUCACCUGUGGCUGAGGCCACCCUUACAUGACAAGCUUCCAGAUUCUGUGAUGAAUGAGAGAGGAAUCCCAUCAAGAGCAACCUCCUGUACAGCAAAGUCCUGAUUUGCUCCAUGGCUUUGUCCAUCCGGUGCCCUGCAAGCUGGGGAAAAGAAUAUGCAUCAUGCAUUUAAAUUUUUUUUUUAUAAUGUGUCUGAACUCUCCAUUCUUGUAUUGCCUAAUUUCAGAAGGCUCGAUUUCAUUCAUCAAUCUUGUUCAUGUUUUUUAAAUAUUGUUUUUAAGUGUGUUUUUGCUUUCAAAAAAGAGCUUUUGUUUAUUAAAAAUCACAAUGGUAAGUUGGAUGCUAGUCAAGCCAGGCCCAGUUAAAGUCAAAGGGAUGGAGGAUGUCAAUUAAUGAAACAGUAAAACAGCAAAACAGCAUAUACCAUUUACUGCAGAUGGAAAAAGAAAAAUAACACUGUUCAAAAUUAUGGGUUAUGUUGUUAUUUUUACUGUUUGCAACCAGUGUGGCUAUUUCUUCCUACCUCCCCUGACCCCUCCCCUACUGUUUGUGACUCCCUGUCUCGGUCCAUGCUGACUGCACCCAGUUGCAGGCUCCACCCUGACAUUUUUCACUUUCCUGUUUUUGGGCUAGCUGUCUCUUGUAAUUAGGCUACAGAGAGAUACAAUAUGAAAUCAUGCCAUAUGUUCUCACUCAGUAUCUCUUCACUGCUUUCCUGGCCUCAGUUGAAAAGGACAGCUUUUCCACAAGCAUCUGCCAGCUGAUGACUGCUUAAGCUGGAAAAUAGCUCCCUAGUUCCCAUAAAGAGGUACUUUUCCUUCCUUGUCUGGUGACAAACCUACACUUUUUCUAGGAAGGGCGUAAGCUAAUGUUGAAGGCCAUUAGGUUCUCAAGCUCUUUUUCGCAGAAACUCUUUGUGGAAAGAUAAGAUUUUAAAUCUUAUCUUGCAUCCUUCAACGGUGUGCAUACAGCACGUCUGCAUAUUCAGUGUGCAGAGGAGAGACUGAGUCUGGCAGUGAGAUACCUCCUCUCAUCUACAUCUCAAGAGAGAGGCCAUCUGUCAUUCUCCAUUCAGAUUUGCACCAUACUUACAAACUGAAACAUCCUUUUUUUCUUCAAAUAUGAAUUUUGACUCCUUGACCUUGCAGUGUAGUAGAGUCAAGACAACUCCACCUCCUAAUUUCCAUCAUUUUCUAACCCUCCAGGCCUGAUUCUAGGUGACCUGAAAAUUUCCCAAGUGUCUGUAACUAGGUGUUGGUAUGUACAUAGACGUAUGUGCUGUAGAGUGAUGUGAAGAUAGGGCUGGGUUGGUAUUCAGACACACAGACACAUUUGACACUGAGGAGCAGCCUGAAAAGCUGGGCUUCGAAACAGCUGUAGGUGUUGCUGGCUCCUGCCUUUGCCUAGUGCAUAGGAUGAAAAAAUUCUCUCCUGGGAAUAAGAAAGACCACAUCUAAGAUGAUUUUUAGAAUGAGGAAAACAAAUCUCAGUGCCAGAAAUGUGCCACAAUGAGACUGCAUGUGUCUGGAUAUGGAAAUGAUGAGGUCCUGUGACUGUCACAGUUCUGUUCUCCUCAUGAACAGGGCAGAGGGGGCACAGACUCAUCCCCCAGCUCCUCCCUGAGGAGGUCGUCUGGCUCCCUUUCACCUGCCCUUCUUUCUCCCUUUCUCCCUGAGUGCAAAGUAUCUCUGUGUCCCUGGAAGUGGCAGGAUGAAGGAUGGAAAGAAAGGAUGGAUCAGGAAAUAUAGCUCUACUUAAGUCUCCUUUCCUGGUCCUUCAUGUGAAGAAAUAGCCUAGGUGUGCCUAAUUCUGCCAGCUUCUGGGUUAGAGAAUUCAGACUAUUUAUUUAUAGCCAUAGGUGUUGAUACUAAUUCUCAUUUUUUAUACAAUUUCUUUUACAUUUGAAAUUCAUUAGAGAGCGCCUUAUGCAACCUUGUUCAACCUUACCUAUCUCCCAACCUUCCUUUGCAAUGAGAUAAUCUAAUGGUUUUGUAAUUUAUUUCAGUAGCUGGCAGCUUGUCUGUCUGUUCUCCUUUUUUUUUUUUUUUUUUUUUAAACCCUAGGAAAGCUUUAGAUUUCCUGCCAAACAGAUAUGCUUUUCAGAUCAAAGAUUUUCUUAGUCUCCUGCAACUUGUGGUGCUGAUUUACUUGUGUAAGAAGUGUGGUAUUUACAUAAUGACACAAUUAGGGAGAAUGGAAAAAAUGUGAGAAAUAUAAUUUGUGUUAGUUAAUUUCCUGCUCACAGAUUGUGUCAGAGAGCUAAGUAUGUUCCACUUUACAAGAGCCUUUCAAAAUAAACAUUAAAAAACCUCUAGUAGUUAAUAUCUG